ACCGUAGGAGGCGAUCGUUAUCCGGAUUUACUGGGCGUAAAGCGCACGCAGGCGGUUCCGUUAGUCGGACGUGAAAGCUCCUGGCUUAACUGGGAGAGGCCAUUCGAUACUGCGGGACUUGAGGUUGGGAGAGGAGUGUGGAAUUCCCGGUGUAGUGGUGGAAUGCGUAGAGAUCGGGAGGAACACCUGUGGCGAAAGCGGCACUCUGGCCCACACCUGACGCUGAGGUGCGAAAGCGUGGGUAGAAAACAGG
rnacentral:rRNA from 1 species